rnacentral:tRNA from 1 species
GGGAAUGUGGCUUAGUGGUAGAGUGCUUGCCUAGUAUGCAUGAAGCCCUAGGUUUGAUUCUACAGUACCA